UUCUAUCAAAGGAUGUGGUAUCUUGUGAGGCCAGUCAUUCCCUGGCAGUGUGUGUCUUACUGGGUGUCUGGUCUAUGACUAUUGAGCUAUUGGGACGGGUCUAUCCUGAGUCAGUUGGUAAACUCAAGCACUCAAUAUUCAACCAGUUGCAAGAUGUUUCUUGAAUGGGGUGACGCUGUUGUUGCUAUGGUAAGUUCAUUUAGGCUCUGAUGAGGACUUUAUUAAUGGACAAUAUUAUUAUUUGAUUUUAUUUAUUAUUAUUAUUACUAUUAUUUUGUAGUAUUGGUCGUAGUUGUAUUUGUUCUUAAUUAAUAUUUUUUUACAAACACAGCUGUAACUUUAUUCCAA